rnacentral:rRNA from 1 species
AUUGAACGCUGGCGGCAUGCUUUACACAUGCAAGUCGAACGGCAGCGCGGGCUUCGGCCUGGCGGCGAGUGGCGAACGGGUGAGUAAUACAUCGGAACGUGCCCAGUAGUGGGGGAUAGCUCGGCGAAAGCCGGAUUAAUACCGCAUACGACCUGAGGGUGAAAGCGGGGGAUCUUCGGACCUCGCGCUAUUGGAGCGGCCGAUGGCAGUUUAGCUAGUUGGUGGGGUAAAGGCCUACCAAGGCGACGAUCUGUAGCUGGUCUGAGAGGACGACCAGCCACACUGGGACUGAGACACGGCCCAGACGCCUACGGGAGGCAGCAGUGGGGAAUUUUGGACAAUGGGCGAAAGCCUGAUCCAGCAAUGCCGCGUGUGUGAUGAAGGCCUUCGGGUUGUAAAGCACUUUUGGCGGGAACGAAAAGGACUGUGCCAAUACCACGGUUCGAUGACGGUACCCGCAGAAUAAGCACCGGCUAACUACGU